UAGGGAAUCUUCCGCAAUGGACGCAAGUCUGACGGAGCAACGCCGCGUGAGUGAAGAAGGAUUUCGGUUCGUAAAACUCUGUUGUUAGAGAAGAACAGCGCAUAGAGUAACUGUUAUGCGUGUGACGGUAUCUAACCAGAAAGCCACGGCUAACUACGUGCCAGCAGCCGCGGUAAUACGUAGGUGGCAAGCGUUGUCCGGAUUUAUUGGGCGUAAAGCGAGCGCAGGCGGUCAAUUAAGUCUGAUGUGAAAGCCCCCGGCUCAACCGGGGAGGGUCAUUGGAAACUGGUUGACUUGAGUGCAGAAGAGGAGAGUGGAAUUCCAUGUGUAGCGGUGAAAUGCGUAGAUAUAUGGAGGAACACCAGUGGCGAAGGCGACUCUCUGGUAUGUAACUGACGCGGAGGCUCGAAAGCGUGGGUAGCAAACAGG
rnacentral:rRNA from 1 species